AUUGAACGCUGGCGGCAUGCCUUACACAUGCAAGUCGAACGGCAGCGCGGGGCAACCUGGCGGCGAGUGGCGAACGGGUGAGUAAUAUAUCGGAACAUACCCUAGAGUGGGGAUAACGUAGCGAAAGUUACGCUAAUACCGCAUACGCACUAAGGUGGAAAGUGGGGGAUCUUCGGACCUCAUGCUCAUGGAGUGGCCGAUAUCUGAUUAGCUAGUUGGUGAGGUAAAGGCUCACCAAGGCGACGAUCAGUAGCUGGUUUGAGAGAACGACCAGCCACACUGGAACUGAGACACGGUCCAGACUCCUACGGGAGGCAGCAGUGGGGAAUUUUGGACAAUGGGGGCAACCCUGAUCCAGCAAUGCCGCGUGAGUGAAGAAGGCCU
rnacentral:rRNA from 1 species